UAAGGAUGUUGAGCAUCUUUUCAUGUAUUUGUUGGCCAUUUGUAAACUUCUUAGGAGAAAUGUCAAUUCAGCUCCUUUGCCCAUCUUUAAAUUGGAUUAUUUGUUUGUGUAAUGUUGAGUUUU